rnacentral:rRNA from 1 species
UACGGAGGGUGCAAACGUUGCUCGGAAUCAUUGGGCGUAAAGCGCACGUAGGCGGACCGCUAAGUCGGAUGUGAAAGCCCUCGGCUUAACCGAGGAAGUGCACUCGAAACUGACGGUCUUGAGUAUGGAAGAGGGUCGCGGAAUUCCCGGUGUAGAGGUGACAUUCGUAGAUAUCGGGAGGAACACCAGUGGCGAAGGCGACUGCCUGGCCGGUUUCUUGACGCUGAGGCGCGAAAGCUAGGGGAGCAAACGGG